rnacentral:rRNA from 1 species
GGACCCGCACAAGCGGUGGAGCAUGUGGUUUAAUUCGACGCAACGCGAAGAACCUUACCAGGGCUUGACAUCCCUCGCUAUUUUUGGAAACAAGAAGUUCCGGCCUUCGGGUCGGACGAGGAGACAGGUGGUGCAUGGUUGUCGUCAGCUCGUGUCGUGAGAUGUUGGGUUAAGUCCCGCAACGAGCGCAACCCCUACUUUUAGUUGCCAUCAUUCAGUUGGGCACUCUAAAGGAACUGCCGGUGACAAACCGGAGGAAGGUGGGGAUGACGUCAAAUCAUCAUGCCCCUUAUGUCCUGGGCUACACACGUGCUACAAUGGUCGGUACAGAGGGCAGCAAAGCCGUGAGGUGGAGCGAAUCCCAAAAAGCCGGUCUCAGUUCGGAUUGUAGUCUGCAACUCGACUACAUGAAGUCGGAAUUGCUAGUAAUCGCGGAUCAGCAUGCCG